rnacentral:rRNA from 1 species
GUGGUUGUUGCCGCCCGCCGGCAGCGGGCGCCCUAGCACCGGGCCGGGGCCGAGCGGCGUGGCCGUAGAACGCUGCUGGUGUCGGCGCCGUAGGAAGCGCAGCUGCGGGUCCCCAUUGUUUUGGCGCCAUGAGCCGCGGGGGCGCCGCCUCGCUUCUGGCCAGGGAAUCAGCUUGCGGCCAUUCAUGGUUCGCAGCGGCCUUCGUCGUCGAUGCACGCCCACGACAGUUGGCGCAGCAGCAGCAAGGGGCGACUAAGGGAUUACGCCAUGUAAGUAACCCACCCUCUCAAUCCUGGCAUAAGCACUAACUGAAUCUCAUUUCAUGAGCAGCACUUGGUGUAUACAGACUGAGAGUGCGAUUCAGAAGAAAUAGUCACACCAUUGUCAUGAAGCAGGAGCUAUCUGUGAGUUUCUAAUGCAUUUCAGGAGUAACUAUUUUCGAGCCAAUGGGAUAAGGAAAUUGCUGUUCCUGUGAUAAUGCCAUGACAACUAGUUUGAGAAGACAGUGACACUUUUUAUGCUCGAUAUUUAGACAGUUUGCCUCCUAGCAAAUUCAGAUUAGGUGUGUAGAUGAUUUUUGCAGAAUCUAGACAUGGCAAAUCGACAAAUUGUAGACUUUGAUGGGGCCACCAGAUUAGUGUAUGUUUUGGGCAUUUUUUUUCAGAACCAACCUUUCGAACUAGUGUUCAUUCAAAUUUUACUACCCAUGCCAAAUUCAGCCAGAGACCCAUGGCAACUUAAUUUCCCCCUAUGUUUUUACAGGGGCUUUUAGAUCAUUCUUUUAGCCUUUUAGCCAUAGUUGCACAGAUAGUUUGCCCCAUGGGGGUACGCAUCCCCUCAUUGCUUUUUUACCAAUCUUUUCAAAACCUAAUUUUGUAUUUACAGUCUGAGGUUUCUCGGAAUUUGGAGCAGUUUGUGAGUUAGUUUAGUUGGCAAAUCACAUUAGGUGUAGCUAGUGGUUUGCUCCCCCUCUCCCUCACCUCUGACAAAUUGGCAUGGCAAAUUUACAUAAGCCGUGUAGAUAGCUUUAGUUGGGAAAUUCACAACCUAUAAACGACCAUCGUAAUUAGUAUGUUUUCUUGCCGUGGCAGUGGCAACUUAUAUACUUUUUAUUGCCAUGUUACAUAGUCGUGAUUUGUGAAGGUAAAUUUAGUUUAUUAAAUUCACUAGAUGUCCCACGGCUAAUUCAGUUUAAUGCCCAUGGCAAGUUUCUUUUUUCAAGAUGAUGACAACUUUUUUUUUACAAUGGCAAUUUUUAUAGUGAUUUUGCCAUGGCAAAUUCAAUUUAAUGGCCAUGGCAAGUUUCUUUUUUCAAGACGAUGUCAACUUUGUUUUUUACCAUGGCAAUUUUUAAAGUGAUUUUGCCAUGGCAAAUUCACUAGAUGUCCCACGGCAAAUUUAGUUUAGUGGCCAUGGCAAGUUUUUUUUUCAAGACGAUGUUAACUUUUCUUUUACCAUGGCAAUUUUUAAAGUGAUUUUGCCUGGGCAAAUUCACUAGAUGUCCCACGGAAAAUUUAGUUUAAUGCCCAUGGCAAGUUUUUUUUCUAGACGAUGUCAACUUUUUUUUACCAUGGCCAUCUUUAAAGUGAUUUUGCCAUGGCAAAUUCACUAGAUGUCCCCCACGGCAAAUUCAGUUUGAUGCACAUGGCAAGUUUCUUUUUUUAAGACGAUGUCAACUUUUUUCUACCAUGUCAAUUUUUUAAGUGCCAAAUUCAGUUUAAUGCUCAUGGUAAGAUUCUUUUUUCAAGGCGAUGCUAGAAAGAAUACAUUUUUAACUAAGGAAUCUCAUUGCUGCAUUCUUGUUCAUAUAAGAUUUUUUUCGUAUUAUAUUAGACGGCCAAUUAUUUCUGUACACUACAUGGAGUAGGUUUUGGGCAUAUUCAUGUUUGUUUUAAUUUUUUGUAAACAAAGAUCUUUUUUGUCGACGGCAAAUUUUGCUUUGUUAAAGACAGAUGGCAAUUUCUGGUUUGCAUCACUGGGAUUUUUUAGUUCUCAAUUUUCUUCUUUUAAUGGCAAUUUUUUCAUAACAUGGCAAAAUCUGGGCUUUCUUUUUCACAGAUCAAGAAAAUGAUUUUUAUUCGCAACACAAACUGGGCCAUACUGUGUUUAUUUUCUUUUUUAGUCACAAGGCCGGCAACUAUGUUGGGUUGUUCACGCUGGGUGGGGGAGGGCGUUGGGGCUGGGGCUGCUCUCCCGAACGAACUUGUUCGAUCGAUGCCCACCCCGGCACCGAACGAAUCAUUCGAUCUGGGGAGUCACCAUUAUCGACGUCCUUGAAUUUUUGAAGGCAAAAUUUACACUACGGGCCAUGGUAAUUUUUUUUACCAUGGCAAUUUUAUCUACAUAAUAUGGCAAUUUUUUGUGGUGAAAAUGAAUGGACUAACCACAUGGCAAUUUGUAUGGAUUUUCGUUUUCUGUAUGACAUGGCAAAUUUACUUUUAAUUUUUUGCAUGGCAAAUUUAACUUAAUUCCCAUGGCAAACUUAGUUUCACAUAAAUGGAAAAUUCACUUUUAUUUUUUAUUACUAAUGGCAAAUUUACUUUUCAUUUGCCAUGGAAAAUUUACACUACAGGCCAUGGAAAAUUUUCUUUUUAUUUUGCCAUGGCAAUUUCAUGAAAUUUCAUCUACAUAAUAUAUCAAUUUUUUGUGAAAAUGAAUGGACUAAUCACAUGGCAAUUUGUAUGGAUUUUCGUUUGCUCUAGCACAUGGCAAAUUUACUUUGAACUUUUGCCAUGGCAAAUCUAACUUAAUUGCCAUGGCAAACCUAGUUUCACAUACAUGACAAAUUCACUUUUAUUGCUAAAUGGCAAAUUUACUUUUCAUUUGCCAUGGAAAUUGAUUUUUUAUAUAUCAUGGCAAAUCAUUUAUUCUGUUUUUGCAAGGUUUUCCUCCUUUCUUUCUUUUUUCUUAUUGUUUCUUGUUUUAGUGAAACAAUAGACAACUCAUAACAUCAAGGCAAUUAUUUUCACCCUCAAAUGUCAUGAAGUGUGUUUGAACAUCAUGGCAACUCAUAAUUUUUAAACCUUUUUUUAUAAAUAUAUGGGAGUUUUAUAAAUUUGCCAUGGCCUGUAGUGUCAUUGACAUGGCAGUAUUACUUGCAAAU